rnacentral:rRNA from 1 species
CCUACGGGUGGCUGCAGUGAGGAAUAUUGGUCAAUGGGCGUGAGCCUGAACCAGCCAAGUAGCGUGAAGGAUGACUGCCCUACGGGUUGUAAACUUCUUUUAUAAAGGAAUAAAGUGAGGCACGUGUGCUUUUUUGUAUGUACCUCAUGAAUAAGGAUCGGCUAAUUCCGUGCCAGCAGCCGCGGUAAUACGGAGGGUCCGAGCGUUAUCCGGAUUUAUUGGGUUUAAAGGGAGCGUAGGUGGGUUGUUAAGUGAGUUGUGAAAGUUUGUGGCUCAACCAUGAAAUUGCAAUUGAAACUGGCAGUCUUGAGUGCAGGUGAGGUAGGCGGAAUUCGUGGUGUAGCGGUGAAAUGCUUAGAUAUCACGAAGAACUCCGAUUGCGAAGGCAGCUUACUGAACUGCCACUGACGUUGAUGCUCGAAGGUGUGGGUAUCAAACAGGAGUAGAUACCCGUGUAGUC